rnacentral:rRNA from 1 species
GACGAACGCUGGCGGCGUGCCUAAUACAUGCAAGUAGAACGCAGUUGCGAACGGGUGAGUAACGCGUAGGUAACUGCCUCAUCGCGGGGGAUAACUAUUUGAAACGAUAGCUAUUACCGCAUACUGUGAGAUGGACCUGCGUUGUUUUAGCUAGUUGGUGAGGUAAAGGCUCACCAAGGCGACGAUAAAUAGCCGACCUGAGAGGGAUAGCGGCAACCCUGGGACUGAGACAUGACCCGGACGCCUACGGGAGGCAGCAGUAGGGAAUCGUCGGCAAUGAACGGAAGUCUGACCGAGCAAAGCGGGGUGAGUGAAGAAGGUUUUCGGAUCGUAAAGCGCUGUUGGGAGAGAAGCGGUAACUAAAAAGAAAGGGACGGCUAACUACGUGCAAGCAGAAGCAGUAUUAC